UAGGGAAUCUUCCACAAUGGACGCAAGUCUGAUGGAGCAACGCCGCGUGAGUGAAGAAGAUCUUCGGAUCGUAAAACUCUGUUGUUAGAGAAGAACACGAGUGAGAGUAACUGUUCAUUCGAUGACGGUAUCUAACCAGCAAGUCACGGCUAACUACUUGCCAG
rnacentral:rRNA from 1 species